UGGACUAAAUGAUUCUGGCCUGUUCCUUCCAAUUCUAUGAUCCUAUGGUAUUACCAAAUGUAAUAGCUUGCAUAUUUUGUAGGACUGUUACCAUCAUUUCAGACGGUGAGGAAGAGCAGGAAACUGACCAAGAACGAUCUGAACAUUUGUGUGCUUUUUAAGACGGUUUGGAUUGGCAUUUUGGUUUGUGAUCUCGCGUUUUUCUGGAGCUCUGGCAGACUGGAGGGUUUCUACAGACACGACCAGAUGUUCCAACAAACUUAGCCAGCACUUCCGAAGUGUCUGCUAGGAGAGGGCUGACAUUCCAAUGCUGCCCCCUUCCCUUUUCUCCAUUCCUUCCCUACCCAACCCGCCCCCCGUCAAUAAUUAAUCUGCCAGCAGCGAUCUUUUGCGUGUCAAAUGAUCGUCGGAAUCGUGCGACGCUUCGUCUCCCUGCGGGCUUUUUUAGCAGCCUCGGCUCCUAUCUUGAACGUUUCUUGCAGCGCAGAAUCGAUGGGUUCGACCUGCCGAGAUCUCUGCCUAUGUCUCUGCCUUUCUCCCUCGCCCUCUUUCAUAGGGACUGGGGUUAAAUAAAUAACCGAGGCUGCUUUCCUCAUUGGAAGUC